UGAUUUCGUCUGAGACCUCUCUUGCAACUAUAUAUAUAACCGGGGUCGAAGGAAGAACAGCGUACACAUAACAGCAGCACAUCAAGAUCCACAUAGCAUAAACCAGAUCUUCUCUCUUUAUUAUAACUUCAAUUCAUUUCCUCAUGGCGCUGCUGGCCAAGAUGGGCACCGGUGUCCUAUUGUUUGCUGCUCUUUUCAUCGUCAUGGCCAUGGUCAUGUCAUCCUGCAGUGCAGCAAUAGACUACUGCCAGUAUGUGGUGCCGUGCAACGCGACGACGUGCUUCGAGUACUGCCAGAAGAACAACUACAAGAACUUCCAGACGUACUGCACUCCGGGGAAAUACUACCCCAUCUGCUGCUGCCGAGUGCCAUGAACGGCCGCCGGCGUAUAUUAGAAAAGGUUUGGUUUCAAAUGAAAUGGAGGCACUUCGAUCUUCCUGGUUCGCUUCCUAUGAGGUUAUAUCCAGGCGUUCAGCAAUAAUGAUUUUUGUAACGGCUAGGAUUCAAUAUAAUAUACUGAAUGGAUAUUAUUCCUUACCGAAAGGCGUAUGCAUGAACUUGUUAUU